GCCUGGGUGGCUCAGUCGGUUAAGCGGCUGACUUCGGCUCAGGUCAUGAUCUCGCGGUCCGUGAGUUCGAGCCUCAUGUCAGGCU
rnacentral:tRNA from 1 species